rnacentral:rRNA from 1 species
AGCUCUCAGAGUGUAUAUCUGUCUUGCUGUGGUUAAAAAGCUCGUAGUUGGAUCUGUGCCUUGAGAAACAGUUCACCUCUGUGUGAUACUGCUUUCCGAGGUGUAAUUCGUGGGUGUUUUCUUACGCUCACGAGAGUUACUCUGAUUAAAUCAGCGUGCUCAACACAAGCGUUUCGCUUGAAUGUUUUUGCAUGGAAUAAUGGAAAAGGACUUCGGUUCUUUACUGUUGGUUUCGGAAUUGAAGUAAUGAUUAAUAGGGACCAACGGGGGCAUACGUAUCGUUGCGCGAGAGGUGAAAUUCAUGGACCGCAGCGAGACGUUCAAUAGCGAAAGCAUUUGCCAAGAAUGUCUUCA